UACGGAGGAUGCAAGCGUUAUCCGGAUUUAUUGGGUUUAAAGGGUGCGUAGGCGGUUACUGUAAGUCAGCGGCGAAAUUUCCGAGCUCAACUUGGAACGUGCCGUUGAUACUGUCGGACUAGAAUGCGGAUGCCGUGGGAGGAAUGUGUGGUGUAGCGGUGAAAUGCAUAGAUAUCACACAGAACACCGAUUGCGAAGGCAUCUCACGAAUCCGCGAUUGACGCUGAGGCACGAAAGCGUGGGGAUCAAACAGG
rnacentral:rRNA from 1 species